UGAUGAAGUUCAAAGAGGUUUGGAACCUUUGUUGUCUCUGUUUCUCUAAGGAAUAGCAAUUUUAUAGUGGUUAGUCCAAUGAUUUAGGGAGUAUUUGCAGUUUUGCUAAAUUAAUGGAUAAAAAAUUAGAACGAUGUUCAUGUACCAUGAAAAGAAGUUUAUCAUACAUUAAUACAACGGUAUAAUGUGGUUUUUAAUUUUAAAACAAAUUUAAAAAUUAUAGGCUUCAUAUAUAGAGCAUUUACCGAAAACUCAUUAUUUUCGUAGGGGGAAUACACAUAGAUUUUGAGAAAAAUUCAAAAAAUUUGAGAAUACUGUUUUAAUACAUAUUUGAAUCAUGUAAUAAAAUAUGAU